GGAUGGCGUUCAACUUUGACAGAAGCCGAGGACUGGAAAGAGAAGGCCUGAUAGAACCACAACCCUGAUGCUGUCUACCUGGGCACAGUUAAUAAUCAGGGCAGGUUAAUAGGUAGCCACCCGGACACUGAUAGGUUUCCUGCCGAAUGUUGAAAGACCGCGAAGAAGCCUCCCUGGGGACAGUGACCAAACUCUCCUUUGAAGGCUUAUAAACUCCUCCAGGACAGGAGCUCUGUCUUACCUCUUCUGUUGUUGCCACUUUGCUGUGUGGAGAGUCAAUGCUCAAGAGCUUCACAUUGGUGGCCCAGAAAUCAGUCUCAGCCCCUCCCAGUAUGGACCGCUCCUUGACAGCAGCCCUCUCUCCUAUAAAGGCAGAUGCAAGCUACGUUUGUGUGGGGAUGACACAACACAAAGGCCCUUGCCAGAUGUGAGCCCCUUGAUAUUGGAUUUCCCAGUCUUCAGAACUG